rnacentral:rRNA from 1 species
UACGUAGGGGGCAAGCGUUGUCCGGAAUUAUUGGGCGUAAAGAGCGUGUAGGCGGUCCGGUAAGUCAGCUGUGAAAGUCAAGGGCUCAACCCUUGAAAGCCGGUUGAUACUGUCGGGCUAGAGUCCGGAAGAGGCGAGUGGAAUUCCCGGUGUAGCGGUGAAAUGCGCAGAUAUCGGGAGGAACACCAGUGGCGAAGGCGGCUCACUGGACUGGUAUUGACGCUGAUGUGUCGAAAGCGUGGGGAGCAAACA